rnacentral:rRNA from 1 species
AUCAACUUUCGAUGGUAGGAUAGAGGACUACAAUGGACUUAACGGGUAACGGGGAAUUAGGGUUCGAUUCCGGAGAGGGAGCCUGAGAAACGGCUACCACAUCCAAGGAAGGCAGCAGGCGCGCAAAUUACCCAAUCCCAACACGGGGAGGUAGUGACAAUAAAUAACAAUAUGGGGCCUUUACGGGUCUCGUAAUUGGAAUGAGUACAAUUUAAAUCUCUUAACGAGGAACAAUUGGAGGGCAAGUCUGGUGCCAGCAGCCGCGGUAAUUCCAGCUCCAAUAGCGUAUAUUAAAGUUGUUGCAGUUAAAAAGCUCGUAGUUGAAUUUCGGGAUCUAUCCGUCGGUCGGGCCUCACGGUCCGCACUGGUGUGAUGGAUUCCUACCUUCUGAACAACCGGUAUGCCAUUAAUUUGAUGUGCCGGGGAAGCAGAACCAUUACCUUGAAAAAAUUAGAGUGCUCAAAGCAGGCUUGUGCCUGAAUACAUUAGCAUGGAAUAAUAAAAUAGGACGGCAUGGUUCUAUUUUGUUGGUUUCUAGGAUCACCGUAAUGAUUAAUAGGGAUAGUUGGGGGCAUUAGUAUUCAAUUGUCAGAGGUGAAAUUCUUGGAUUUAUUGAAGACUAACUUCUGCGAAAGCAUUUGCCAAGGAUGUUUUCAUUAAUCAAGAACGAAAGUUAGGGGAUCGAAGACGAUCAGAUACCGUCGUAGUCUUAACCAUAAACUAUGCCGACUAGGGAUCGGACGAUGUUAAUUUUUUAAUGACUCGUCCCGCGCCCGACGGGAAACCAAAGUGUUUGGGUUCA